rnacentral:rRNA from 1 species
UGGGGAAUAUUGCACAAUGGGCGCAAGCCUGAUGCAGCCAUGCCGCGUGUGUGAAGAAGGCCUUCGGGUUGUAAAGCACUUUCAGCGAGGAGGAARGUGGUGARCUUAAUACGCUCAUCAAUGA